rnacentral:rRNA from 1 species
GGAAUAAAAGUCGUAACAAGGUCUCCGUAGGUGAACC